rnacentral:rRNA from 1 species
UACGGGGGGGGGCAAGCGUUGUUCGGAAUUACUGGGCGUAAAGGGUGCGUAGGCGGGUCUUUUAAGUCAGGGGUGAAAUCCUGGAGCUCAACUCCAGAACUGCCUUUGAUACUGAAGAUCUUGAGUUCGGGAGAGGUGAGUGGAACUGCGAGUGUAGAGGUGAAAUUCGUAGAUAUUCGCAAGAACACCAGUGGCGAAGGCGGCUCACUGGCCCGAUACUGACGCUGAGGCACGAAAGCGUGGGGAGCAAACAGG